UCACUCCUCUCUCUCUCAUUUUCCAUUUUUGUUUCCACCAUUGAAGCUCAUUUGAAGCUUCUUAAAACCUAAAAUUUAACCAUAGAAUUUGAAGAAUUCUUAACUAAAACUUGUAUUUGAGCUUUGAUAAGAAGAUUUAUGGAGGAAGAAAGGAAGAAAUUGGAGAGCUUAAGAAGAUUGGAAGGUUCCACAUAAGAUAGAGACAAGGAAAAAACAGCAGAGUAAGCUGCUGAUUGUGGGGACUACUAAGAGACUUUUGUACGGGUAUUUGAUAAUACCCUUGUAACUUCUUGAUGUAAAUAAUUUUGUAGUCAUAUGUACUUUUGAAACUGAGCAGUUGUAUAGUUAAUAUGUAAUAAUAUGGUCUUUUGGCUUUU